GGGUGCUGAGGCUGCUCUGGGCUCUGCCAGGGCUCUGCUGGGCUCAGCCCUGGGCCCAGCUGGGCUGGCUCUGCCCUCACAUUGCUCUGACAGCUUUGCAUCAGACGAGCCCGUUGUGAGCACAGCGCCUGAGCUUUCUGCUUUGGCAGAAGUGCCACGAGUGGGCCAAAGCUGGCGAGUGGGCCGUGCUCCUGAGGCAGUGCAGUCUGGAGCUGGUGGAUGGAGAAUUGCCCUUCUGCACUUCCACACCAGAGCAAAAAGCCAAAACAUGUCCUACAAAAUGAGUGUCCUUUGCUCCUGGUUCCCGUGUGGAGCAGCUCCCUUCCUUCUGGCUGAGCUGCUCAGGGAGAGCCUGGCAGCUCCUGGCCCUGCAGGGCUGAGGCUUUUCCCUGUUGCUGGGCACAGACUAAUGGAGCAGCACUGCUGAACUCGGGCACACAGAGGGA